ACUCCCACGAUUUGAGUCUUGGACCCAAAAAUCACACCAGCCCUAGCACACCAGAGGGUCAGGCAGCCUGACCGCCCCCAGAGCCCUAGCGAAGGGAGACAAAGGUACCCGGAACACCAUGUGUCCGGCCAAGAUUCAUCCGGCCAAGAUUCAGAAGCGAUCCCAGAAGGACGCCCACCACUCAGAAAAAUACAGAGGCCGCAGCUACUGGACCACGGAGCGCUACGGCGAGGUGCGGC